rnacentral:rRNA from 1 species
UACGGGGGGGGCAAGCGUUGUUCGGAAUUACUGGGCGUAAAGGGCGCGUAGGCGGCCUGCUAAGUCACACGUGAAAUCCCUCGGCUCAACCGGGGAACUGCGUGUGAUACUGGCGGGCUUGAAUUCGGGAGAGGGAUGUGGAAUUCCAGGUGUAGCGGUGAAAUGCGUAGAUAUCAAGAGGAACACCUGAGGUGAAGACGGGUUGCUGGGCCAACACUGACGCUGAGGCGCGAAAGCCAGGGGAGCAAACGGG